rnacentral:rRNA from 1 species
CUACGGAGGGGGUUAGCGUUGUUCGGAAUUACUGGGCGUAAAGCGCACGUAGGCGGACUGGAAAGUUGGGGGUGAAAUCCCGGGGCUCAACCUCGGAACUGCCUCCAAAACUUCCAAUCUAGAGAUCGUGAGAGGUGAGUGGAAUUCCAAGUGUAGAGGUGAAAUUCGUAGAUAUUUGGAGGAACACCAGUGGCGAAGGCGGCUCACUGGCUCGAUACUGACGCUGAGGUGCGAAAGCGUGGGGAGCAAACAGGAUUAGAUACCCCAGUAGUCC